rnacentral:rRNA from 1 species
AAGCGGAGGAAAAGAAACCAACAGGGAUUGCCUCAGUAGCGGCGAGUGAAGCGGCAAGAGCUCAGAUUUGAAAUCGUGCUUUGCGGCACGAGUUGUAGAUUGCAGGUUGGAGUCUGUGUGGAAGGCGGUGUCCAAGUCCCUUGGAACAGGGCGCCCAGGAGGGUGAGAGCCCCGUGGGAUGCCGGCGGAAGCAGUGAGGCCCUUCUGACGAGUCGAGUUGUUUGGGAAUGCAGCUCCAAGCGGGUGGUAAAUUCCAUCUAAGGCUAAAUACUGGCGAGAGACCGAUAGCGAACAAGUACUGUGAAGGAAAGAUGAAAAGCACUUUGAAAAGAGAGUGAAACAGCACGUGAAAUUGUUGAAAGGGAAGGGUAUUGCGCCCGACAUGGGGAUUGCGCACCGCUGCCUCUCGUGGGCGGCGCUCUGGGCUUUCCCUGGGCCAGCAUCGGUUCUUGCUGCAGGAGAAGGGGUUCUGGAACGUGGCUCUUCGGAGUGUUAUAGCCAGGGCCAGAUGCUGCGUGCGGGGACCGAGGACUGCGGCCGUGUAGUCACGAUGCGC